GUUAGAGAUAGAGGCGCGAUGCUUAAGAGUACCUUUGUGGAGAUAAGCACUAUGAAACAAUGUGAAAGGAAUCAUCGCCGAAGUUAUAUAGUUAAUGCUUUGAGACUAUAUUGCUGGUUGUGCAUAUAAUAUAUGUAUAACUGUCACAAUUUUGUGGAGAGCUAUCCUGAGC
rnacentral:ncRNA from 2 species